GAUGCUUAACUGAUAUGAAAUAGGAUGUAUGAUGGUUUCCAGCAAGUUUAUAUGAUGAUAAUGGAUAGAUGCAGGCAGCUAAGUACUCACAGAACAAACUACAUCAGAAAUUGGCUAUGACACUUCCCAAAAGUGACCAAAAAUGAGGUAUUCAAGCAAGGACUAUAAGGCAAUUCUGAAAAUUGACCAUAUGAACAGUAACCUACCAGUUUUGAUGCACUUUUAACAGAUGUUUAGCUCAACAAAUCACCCUAAAACAGCUGUUUAAGACAAUUGGCUAUACUACUAGAUGAAUUCAAGCCAAAUGAGGAAGUGAUAUAGUGAUUUUGUGUAUUGGUGUAGAUCUGACCAUAAAAUCAGUUUGUACACAUUUCAAAUGACCAAACAAAGUGGUUCUGAGGUUCUAAAUGCACA
rnacentral:lncRNA from 1 species